GGNUUAGGCAUNGCAAGUCGAACGUGAACCUUGCUUCGGUGAGGUGAAAGUAGCGAAAGGGUGAGUAAUGCAUAGCUAACCCACCCCCGACACUGGGAUAACCAGGAGAAAUCUUGGCUAAGACCGGAUAUGCUCGCUUGGGCGCAUGCUCGAGCGAGUAAAGGAGGCCUCUUAACAAUGCUUCUGGUUGGGGACGGAACUAUGUCCUAUCAGCUAGUUGGUAGGGUAAUGGCCUACCAAGGCGAUGACGGGUAGCCGACCUGAGAGGGUGACCGGCCACACUGGGACUGAGAUACUGCCCAGACUCCUACGGGAGGCUGCAGUCGAGGAUCUUCCGCAAUGGGGGCAACCCUGACGGAGCGACGCCGCGUGCGGGAUGAAGGCCUUCGGGUUGUGAACCGCUGUCACACGUUAUGAAAGAAACGGAGUUAAAAGCUCUGGGUCUUGACAAAGGCGUGAAAGGAAGCCACGGCUAACUUCGUGCCAGCAGCCGCGGUAAGACGAAGGUGGCUAGCGUUGCUCGGAAUUACUGGGCAUAAAGCGCGCGUAGGUG
rnacentral:rRNA from 1 species